rnacentral:misc_RNA from 1 species
GAUAAGAACGCAGCGAAAUGCGAUACGUAGUGUGAAUUGCAGAAUUCAGUGAAUCAUCGAAUCUUUGAACGCACAUUGCACCUCUCGGUAUUCCGGGAGGUAUGCCUGUUCGAGCGUCAUUUGUACCCUCAAGCUCUGCUUGGUGUUGGGUGUUUGUUCCGCCUCUGUGUGUGAACUCGCCUCAAAACAAUUGGCAGCCGGCGUACUUGUUUCGGAGCGCAGCACAUUUUGCGAUCCAGAUCAACGUACAGCGGCAUCCAAGAAGCCUUAUUUAACGCUCUUGACCUCGGAUCAGGUAGGGAUACCCGCUGAACUUAAGCAUAUCAAUAAGCGGAGGA